UAGAGAUGGCCCCACACUCGCUCCUUGU
rnacentral:piRNA from 1 species